rnacentral:rRNA from 2 species
CACGUUAAGGUGGGCACUCUAAGGAGACUGCCGGUGACAAACCGGAGGAAGGUGGGGAUGACGUCAAGUCAUCAUGGCCCUUACGGCCUGGGCUACACACGUGCUACAAUGGUCGGUACAAAGGGUUGCCAAGCCGCGAGGUGGAGCUAAUCCCAUAAAACCGAUCGUAGUCCGGAUCGCAGUCUGCAACUCGACUGCGUGAAGUCGGAAUCGCUAGUAAUCGUGAAUCAGAAUGUCACGGUGAAUACGUUCCCGGGCCUUGUACACACCGCCCGUCACACCAUGGGAGUGGGUUGCUCCAGAAGUAGCUAGUCUAACCUUCGGGGGGACGGUUACCACGGAGUGAUUCAUGAC